GACGAACGCUGGCGGCGUGCUUAACACAUGCAAGUCGAACGGUGAACGAGGGAGCUUGCUCCCUCCGGAUCAGUGGCGCACGGGUGAGUAACACGUGAGCAAUCUGCCCCGAACUCUGGGAUAAGCGUUGGAAACGACGUCUAAUACCGGAUACGACGCGGGAGGGCAUCCUCUCCGCGUGGAAAGAACUUCGGUUCGGGAUGAGCUCGCGGCCUAUCGGCUUGUUGGUGAGGUAACGGCUCACCCAGGCGACGACGGGUAGCCGGCCUGAGAGGGUGACCGGCCACACGGGGACUGAGACACGGCCCAGACUCCUACGGGAGGCAGCAGUGGGGAAUAUUGCACAAUGGGCGCAAGCCUGAUGCAGCAACGCCGCGUGAGGGACGACGGCCUUCGGGUUGUAAACCUCUUUGAGCAGGGAAGAAGCGAAAGUGACGGUACCUGCAGAAAAAGCACCGGCUAACUACGUG
rnacentral:rRNA from 1 species